GACGAACGCUGGCGGCGUGCCUAAUACAUGCAAGUAGAACGCUGAAGCGAGGAGCUUACUCUGCGUGGGAGAGUUGCAAGCGGGUGAGUAACGCGAAUGUAAUCUGCCUGGUAGCGGGGGAUAACUAGGGGAAACGAUAGAUAAUACGGCAGAACAAUGGAUGACACAGUGCGUGUAGGAGAGAGGGGCAAUUGCUGCACUACAAGAUGGACCUGCGUUGUAUUAGCUAGUAGGUGAGGUAAUAGAUCACCUAGGGGACGAUACAUAGCCGACCUGAGAGGGUGGUCGGCCACCCUGGGAUUGAGACACGGCCCAGUCUCCUACGGGAGGCAGCCGGAGGGAUUCUUCGGCAAUGGGGGCAAACCUUAGCGAGAAACGCUGCGGGAGGAUAGAACGUUGUCGGGUCGUAAAGCUCGGUUGUCGGUUAAGAAAGCGCGUGCGCCUGGAAAGUUGCCUCUGUGACGGUAGCUUAUAAGAAAGGGCCGGCUAACUACGUG
rnacentral:rRNA from 1 species